rnacentral:rRNA from 1 species
UACGUAGGGUGCGAGCGUUGUCCGGAAUUAUUGGGCGUAAAGAGCGUGUAGGCGGCUUGGUAGGUCCGCUGUGAAAACUCGAGGCUCAACCUCGAGAUGUCGGCGGAAACCACUUGGCUAGAGUCCGGAAGAGGAGAGUGGAAUUCCUGGUGUAGCGGUGAAAUGCGCAGAUAUCAGGAAGAACACCUAUGGCGAAGGCAGCUCUCUGGGACGGUACUGACGCUGAGACGCGAAAGCGUGGGGAGCGAACAGG